rnacentral:rRNA from 1 species
UAGGGAAUCUUCGGCAAUGGGGGGAACCCUGACCGAGCAACGCCGCGUGAGUGAAGAAGGUUUUCGGAUCGUAAAGCUCUGUUGUUAAGGAAGAACGAGUGUGAGAAUGGAAAGUUCAUACUGUGACGGUACUUAACCAGAAAGGGACGGCUAACUACGUGCCAGCAGCCGCGGUAAUACGUAGGUCCCGAGCGUUGUCCGGAUUUAUUGGGCGUAAAGCGAGCGCAGGCGGUUAGAUAAGUCUGAAGUUAAAGGCAGUGGCUCAACCAUUGUAGGCUUUGGAAACUGUUUAACUUGAGUGCAGAAGGGGAGAGUGUAAUUCCAUGUGUAGCGGUGAAAUGCGUAAAUAUAUGGAGGAACACCGGUGGCGAAAGCGGCUCUCUGGUCUGUAACUGACGCUGAGGCUCGAAAGCGUGGGGAGCGAACAGG